rnacentral:rRNA from 1 species
GACGAACGCUGGCGGCGUGCUUAACACAUGCAAGUCGAACGGAAAGGCCCUGCUUUUGUGGGGUGCUCGAGUGGCGAACGGGUGAGUAACACGUGAGUAACCUGCCCUUGACUUUGGGGUAACUUCAGGAAACUGGGGCUAAUACCGGAUAGGAGCUCCUGCUGCAUGGUGGGGGUUGGAAAGUUUCGGCGGUUGGGGAUGGACUCGCGGCUUAUCAGCUUGUUGGUGGGGUAGUGGCUUACCAAGGCUUUGACGGGUAGCCGGCCUGAGAGGGUGACCGGCCACAUUGGGACUGAGAUACGGCCCAGACUCCUACGGGAGGCAGCAGUGGGGAAUAUUGCACAAUGGGCGGAAGCCUGAUGCAGCAACGCCGCGUGCGGGAUGACGGCCUUCGGGUUGUAAACCGCUUUCGCCUGUGACGAAGCGUGAGUGACGGUAAUGGGUAAAGAAGCACUGGCUAACUACGUG